AGUGCAUUCUGGAUUAGAGUGGGUACUGCUGCUUGGUGUCCAGCUGGGUCUAUGUGGCUAAGAUGGAGACGGGUCAGACUUCCAUGCCGGUAAACAUGUACAGUGGUGGCACUGAGGCCUGUGACAUUU
rnacentral:snoRNA from 1 species